GGGGAAAGAAUGUUUCAUUGAAGUGUUUAAUUGAAGUGAAUGAAACUAUAACACAGAUCUCAUGGAGGAAGAUUCAUGGCAAAAGUACACAGACUGUUGCCGUUCAUCAUCCUCAGUAUGGAUUCUCUGUUCAAGGAGAUUAUCAGGGAAGAGUCUUUAUUUAAAAACUAUUCACUUAAUGAUGCAACAAUUAUUCUGCAAAACAUAGGCUUCUCAGACUCUGGAAAAUAUAUUUGCAAAGAUGUUACAUUCCCACUUGGAAAUGCCCAGUCCUCUACAACUGUAACUGUGUUAGUGACUUGCAUUGGGCUGUGGAGUCUUUAAUCACCUUGUGUUUGUUUUUCCCAUGGAUUUUUGUAUCUGCCGCUGAAGAUGUGUAUACCUAUUUGAAUCAUACACUGUUUUCCACAAUAAAUUAGGUUUAUUUUCCCA